UUACUCUGACUUCUCUUCAGAUCGUAUAAAUCUUUCGCCUUUUACUAAAGGUUUCCAUGGAGAGGCUCAAUAAGAGUUUUAACUAAUUUUUUUAUGCCAUGUUUAAUGCAGGGCU